CGCAGCCCUUGGCUGCACAAGGUAAAGGGGAGAGAGAGAAGGAAGAGGCCACUAAGUACAGCUCAGUGAUACAUGCAGCCCUUGGCUGCACAAGGUCUGUGACAAUGCCCACCCCACCCACAUCCAGUAUGGAGAAGAAGAAUCUUCUGUAUGUACUUCAGUCUGGAGCCAGUCCUGGUGACACACACUUGUAACCCCAGCCACUUUGGAAGCAGAGGCAGGAAGAUUACCAAAUCCAAGGCCAGCUUGGACUACAGAGUUAAGUCAAGGCCAGUCUGGACAAUUUUAAGACCCCAUCUCAAAAUAAAAAGUAUAAAGAAAGUUUGGUAUAUAACCCUAUUGUGAUAUAUAUUACACAUAUACAUACACAUAUACACAUAUAUCACAUACACAGAUACAUUACAUAUACAUAUGCACAUCUCAAUGUACAUCUCAUAUAUGCAUAAACAGUAGAGGCCUUGAAU